rnacentral:rRNA from 1 species
UACGUAGGGUGCAAGCGUUGUCCGGAAUUAUUGGGCGUAAAGAGCUCGUAGGCGGUCUGUCGCGUCGAUCGUGAAAACUUGGGGCUUAACCCUGAGCUUGCGGUUGAUACGGGCAUGACUGGAGUUCGGCAGGGGAGACUGGAAUUCCUGGUGUAGCGGUGAAAUGCGCAGAUAUCAGGAGGAACACCGGUGGCGAAGGCGGCAUCCUGGACCGAUAUUGACGCUGAUGCGCGAAAGCCAGGGGAGCAAACGGG